rnacentral:rRNA from 1 species
CUGCAACUCGCCUGCAUGAAGUUGGAGUUGCUAGUAAUCGCGGAUCAGAAUGCCGCGGUGAAUGCGUUCCCGGGUCUUGUACACACCGCCCGUCACACCACGGAAGUUGGGGGUGCCCAAAGUUGGCAGGAUAAUAUGUUACCUAAGGCAAAACCGAUGACUGGGGUGAAGUCGUAACAAGGUAAC